GCUAUCAAACUCUGUUUCAGAAGACACUUGUCUUUAGUAGAAAAGCCACAUUAUCUUGAAUGUGUUGCUUAUGGAAAUGAGACGCCAUUAGGUUCAAAAGGUAGGCAGAUAGUGUCUGCUACAUCAACACUACAUAGGAGUCUGUAAACCCACUGUGUGACUUGACUUGUCCAUCCACACAUUCAGCAUUACUGACAUCAACAACUGCCUAUCCCUGCUAUGCAUGCUAUAACACUAAUGAGAAAAUGACAUUUAUAAAGAAUGCUGUACCUCUUGGGGAAAAAAAAAUCUAUUUUCAUUUCUUAACAUCUAACGUCGUCAGUCAAGGCCCUAUCAAAACUGAGAAGGCCUGAAAUGCUCAGUCCCAGGAAGCACUACAGAGAAAGAGUACCUGUAGUCGUGAUUAUUAAUUAAUAAAUCCCGACGUGGGGUUUGUUACCUGCCUCAAUAGUUUGUGUCCCCAAAUGAAAGACACACACACACAGCACAGCCUUUAUAUUUUAAUCUGCCUUAAACAGCACAAUAGCUAGGCCACUGCCUAACCUGCAUGCUGUUAAUCCAGAGUUAUUACUUAUUAAUCCUAUGUUCCAUUUUGACUGUUCCUGACACAGUUGAGCAGCCCUCUGAGCUGCGCUCUCCUGGCCCAUUUACAUGGUGGCCCUGCCUCUCUGUCCUGCACUCUCCUCAGGCAUGGCAACUCUCCUCUUCCUUUCUCCAGCCACUUUCCUCUCUUCCUCUUGGUCUCAAGACCUGGGAAUCCUAAAAAUCCUGCCUUGUCUGCCUUCUCCCAUUGGCCGUUGCCUUCUUUAUUUACUAAUCAGAACCAACUGGGGGCAGGUUCUCAGAAGCUAUGUGCAGACCCUCUCAUAUAAACAGUUUUUAGGGGGAACGUAAUUAGCAUUAGUAAUAGAAGCAGCUGCAGAUAGCAUCAGAUAAUCGACGGGUGCUUCAAGGUAAAGGCACCAUAGUGAUGUUCUUCAGAGGAUGGUGGGAAGGAAGAACACAGACACAGGAGGUAAGAUACCUUCUCUUGGAUCACUUUGGGUUGAAUGUGGCCAUCAACCACUGCACAGUAGGUAGUGUCAAAGGAGAAAAAAGAGCUCUAAAGCUCUUUUUGGGUUAGCAGGGGCAAUGUCAUGCUUUCUGAUACUUUCCUUCCAUACGCUCAUUCCUAACAUUUGUGGGGUUCUGGAUAAGUCCGUCACAUUUCCACACAGGCCUUGAUGACUUAAAAGAUUCCAUGUUAAAAAUGAAGAUGUCUCUGUGGCCAGUCUGUGUUUCCUCCGGUGCUUUGUAGACCAGUCCUCGGGGAUCCCUGCACUGAUCCCUACGUCAUAGGGACUUAGAUGGUCUGAGGUAGUGUGUGGGAGAGAGCCUGGCUUGAAUGGAGUGCCCAGGCAGGCUUAGUAGGCAGUGUCUCUUUUGGUGCACCUCACUUUUCUGGAACUUUCUAGCCAUUCCUAAGUCGAGAGAAAGGAGAACAUGCAGGCAUCACCUCAGGUGCUUUACCAGAGACAGGCUUUCUAGAACAGGGGAGGCCGUUCCCUAGGUUCCUUCAUCCUGUGCUGGCAGGCCACAUUCUUAGGUUUACAAACUAAGUCCUUGCUUGUCAAGAGAUCAAAAAGAAGUCUGUUUGUCUGGGUGUUUAUAAAAAGCAAAGGUCUCUGGGCUGAGGAAGUGGUGGCCCAGUGUUUCGUCCACACCUCCAAUGGGAGCAGCACACCUUGGGUUCAGACUCAAAAAAACCUCUUGCUCUUGAAACAACCAUGCUGUACAGCUGCGUGUAAGGGUUCAAACUAUAAGCCAAGCUACAAUUUUGCUGGGCGACUUUGUAUAACUGUCUUAUUCACUACAUCUCCUUAUGACAAGCUAGGGAUGGUCUGAGUUCUUGCAUUUAAGGGGCUUAGAGUUAGGAUUAAAUUGAUACUUCAGGGAAGACAAACACUAUUGCUUGGCUAACCCAACAGCUAGUCUUAAUCGCCAUAUUGCCUGUCUUCCCAAAGAGGAUAAAAGCUGCCUUUUGCAUUCCUAGUCUCCUGGCCUGCUAAUGGCAAUCAAUGUAUCCCCGUGCUGGUCAAUGAAAUAGAUGGAACAGAGGCUAAAGGACUGCUAGGAAAUCCUCUGCCUCCUUAUAAAAGGAACAAGCAAGAAGGGGCAAUUUUCUUGGCUACUAUUAGUUUUUCUUUGUUCUUGUCCCUAAUGAAGACAGUAUCUGGCCCAGUAGAAGACAUCUUGUGAAAGUUGAAGAUUAAUGUGAACCCACUAAGAGUUAUAUAAGUGAAGAGGAGAGGUUUUCUCCUUAACGAUAUUACUGGACUGCCAAGCCAUGCCUCAGAUGACUGUCUCUAGACUUCCUGCUGGAGAAAGACAUACAGACUGAGAAUUGGGGCACUGUUGGUCAGCGUCCAUUAUGUCUACUAGAACCAGUUGGUCAAUUAAAUAAUGUUUUUCCACAGUACCGGGCAGCAAGUAAGAGCUCAACAAGCAUCAAGCUAUUGUGCCGACAUCGGUUACUAGAACCUGGGUCCAAAUGAACUCAAGUCCUUUAAUCCUGUGGUGGUUUUUAAGAACUGCUUUGUAAGGGGCUAACCCAGGGCACUAACUAUUCCCUGUGGUCUCAGCUGUGAGCUGAGGGGAUGUAUGUCCCAUACCCUUCAACAAAGCAAUGAGUGGUUGUACACCCACGUGGCCUAGAGGUGAUCUCUGGGCAGAAGCCUGAUGAUGUACAAGCUGUCCCCAUAUAUCCAAAAUACACAUUGGAAACAGAGACAGAAAGAAGAAAGGAAGAAUGUGGAGAAAAAGCAAGACAAGAAAAACUUUAAAGUGAGUUGUGCCCUUUUGACCUUAUCAAAAUAUUUGGAAACUUUAGAGGCGCUCUUCAAAGAGUCUUGAUGCAUCUAUCAGGCCAGGAAAUAGCACUCGGCGUUAGCCUGGGGCCCACACCUUGUUAUUUUUAGGCUGCAUGGCCUGACUUUAUCAAUGCAAGGAGGGGCAAACUAGAACACACUCAUCGGAAUGGCAUUUCUGUUCUUUUGUUGCCGUAGUGACCCAAUGCCUGACAAGACACAAUGUGAGAGGGGAACUGUUUGGUUUGGCUCACCGUGAGGGGACAUAGUUCAUCGCUGCAGGCAAGUUUUUGGCUCCUGGUAAAUUAUAUGAGAUGGCCUGUGGUGUUGCAUUCAGACAGAGGUGGGCACAAUUUACAUACUGGUUCUGAGCCUCAGAAACAUUAAUUUCGACAUUAGGCAAAGCUUUUUUCUUCUACAGCCUCAGUCUUGCCAGCUGUAAGAUGGGACAACAAUAGUUCCUCCUUCCCAGGAUUGUGCUGAGGAUGACUCAUUGUUGGCAAUGGUGGUCUAUCAUGGGCCAAGUAUCUGUGAGCAUCUUUGCUGACUGUGUCCCACUGUCUUCUGAAACUGAGCCAUUUCUGUAGCUACUCACAUAGCCAACAAGCCUGUCACAAUGACAUAAGGAGACUAAUACACUACUAUUAACUCUGCAGGGGAAGGAAGCUGCAUUGUUCAUAGCUUGCUACUGAAGAAUCAUCCUGCCUCUAUCUUAGUCUUAAAAAGUCACACUUCAAUAAAGACAAACCAGGUUUAAUCCUGUGUAUGAUUAAGCCUCUGUUUCUUAAAGCUUGGGAUAUGCCCUCCCUGUAACCUUAACUACAAAUAAUUCUGUACUGCGAGUUCCAAUAAUGGCAAUCAUGUCUUUGUUUUAAGAGUUGUUUAUAACCAACCCUACCUUGAUUCAAAACCCUUCCUUGUUAUGCCCAUCUUGCAGCCAUAUCUUUGUUUCAGGAGAGACUGACAUGUGAUGCUUAUGUUCUGUUCUCAUAACCCUGCUUAUUUUGCCUGCCAAAUUCCCCAUUUGGAAAUUUCUUACCCCUGUCUUCCUCACAUCCAAUGAUGACCUCUUGAACCCUGCCUUAGGGGAAGCAGCUCAUAUACCUGAAUAAAAAAAGCUUAUUUUAAUUCAUUGCUUGCUUUUAUUUGGCUGUGAUGAUUUGGGUGCAUGGUCUUCCUCUUCCUAUCUUUGAGAUUAACAAACAUUUGGAGGCCCCAGCGAAAUCAAGAUCCCAAACCAAAUUCAUAGAUUCAGAAGCUGGAUCCUUCGCUCUGGCCCUCUAGGACUCAGGAGCCUAUGUGCACACUUUGGAAACAUUUCAAGACCCUGAGACUGACGAGUGAAAGGGAAACUAUUAAACUCAAUGCCCAGAAUCUGCAUCUUGUGGACAGCCUGCAUUUCCUAUCCUUGUAAUUUCUUGGCUAUUGUAAAGUCUAUACUUCCGGCUGAUGAUAAGGAAUGAAGUAGGUUGUCCAUAUUCUCGGGAACUGGACUUUCUGCAUAUCUUGGACUCCUUUUGAAGGCAAAGAUACAGAGUACAGUGUCUUCAACUUUACCCUUUGACUGUACUUUAUUAGUCUCAGUCUCUCUCUCUCUCUCUCUCUCUCUCUCUCUCUCUCUCUCUCUCUCUCUUUCUCUCUCUCCCUCUUUCUCCCUCUCCUCCUCCUCCUCCUCCUCCUCCUCCUCUCCUCCUCCUCCUCCUCCUCCUCCUCCUCCUCCUCUUCCUCCUCCUCUUCUUCUUCUUCUUCUUCUUCUUCUUCUUCUUCUUCUUCUUCUUCUUCUUCUUCUUCUUCUUCUUCUUCUUCUUCUUCUUCUUCUUCUCCUUCUCCUCCUCCUCCUCCUCCUCCUCCUCCUCCUCCUCCUCCUCCUCCUCCUUCUUCUUCUUCACCUUCUUCCCUCUUUGUUUUUCUCUGUCUCUCUUUUUUCUGUCUCUCUUUCUGUCUCUUUAUUGCUCCUCUCUCUAUUGUUCUUGGUUGCUUUCAAGACACUAGACCCUCUACAGAGGGAACAGAAAUACAUCGAAAGUAUUUUUAUUCAAUAAGGGGAAAAGUGACUUUAUUUAACAUGUUCUUCAGUAUUGCCUAGAUGACCGGUGUGGUAGUUUGAAAGAAAAUAUCUCCCAUAAGCCUACAGGGGAUGACACUAUUAGGAGAUAUGGCCUUGGAGAAGGUACAUGAUGGGGUGGGCUUUGAGAUCUCAGAAGCUCGAGUCCAUUCACUUCCUCCUGCUGCAGAUCCUGAUGUAGAGCUCUCAGCUCCUUCUCCAGCACCAGUCUGCCUGCACACUGCCUUGCUUCCCACCAUGAUGUCUUCAGAAUAACACUGUGCAGUACUGCUGUGUAGAAACUGUCUCCAAAUCGCAACACUCCCUCUUGGAGGGAGGAGAGAGGCUCUUCCCCACUCAGAGAAUACAGAAAACUUACCAAGGCUCAGGAACAACCCCGAAUCUCAGGAAGCAACUGAAAUAUAACAACAUCCCCAAGGCUCCUCUCCAAGGUUAGCUAGCCUCUGCCAAAUGCUCCUGCUGUCCUGCUCACGUGACCAGCCAUCCAUGAAGCAAGAUGCUUUCCAGGCCUCUGGCUGAGAAAGAGCUGCCCAGUGGCUUCCAGGUACCCAGGCAGCUUCCAGAAGCCUCUAGCUCCAAUUCAUCUUCGCCCAGAACUGUCUUCGCAAUCCUCCUUGUACAUAACUAUAGCAGCUGCAGUUCCAACGCUCUGUCAUCAGGUGCAGCCCACAGUUUACCAAAGAGGACAACACAGAGAAGGAAGAUUUCUAACCUCACUGACAGUUUUAUUGACUAGCCCUGUUCUAGACCUUUUCUUUCAAAGGAAACCUUGGGAGGCUUCAUGUGGAUAAUACUUAUGUAUGCGCUGCUGUUGAUUUUAUUGCGAAGGUAGCUCUUGCUGUCAUGAUGCUGCCGAGAAAUGACACCUAUAGAGUGUGACUGCAUGUUAGAAUGAGCUAGAGGCUACUUUACUGUAGUCCUCACAUCCUUUCAGGGUGGAAACCAUUUCUCAUUUUUAUGAAGCAUUUUCCCACCAGGCUAGCUUAUCAGCAUGCUCGCUAUCGUUCUCAUACCAGGCAGUUUGCAUGCGCUCGUCAUUGUAAGCCAUGGAGGAGAGUAAAACAAAGAAAACCAAGCAUUUCUGUGGAAAGUCUUUCUAUGCUUUUUUUUUUCUGUGAAAGUAGUUUGUCACUUAGACCUAUGGAAUACUGUCACCUCCUGCCAAUUCGGAUGGCAUUCCAUCUAUAUUAUCUACCAUGUCCUAGGCUUGGACAGUACUCUGGCCUUCCUGUGUAUAGUGACAGAGGCCCUCGGAGGUACCACGGGUCUAUCUGGGUGUAGCUCGACUGUUUUCUUACUUUGACUUCUCCCCAAGCAAUGGACUACAGUUGCUUAAAGAAGGGACAUUAAAGUUGUCCACCGCACUUUGGAAGACAGUUCAAAAGACACCUGGCAGUCAUCCUCCAUUUCUCAGGAAGAGGUCAGCAUCACUCCAUUCCCUGGGCCCCAGUUCACAAGAACCAAGUGUUUUUCUGGCUAUCCUUGUCCUCUUCGUCUUCAUACAGGAAUCUCUACGUCAACUUUUUGGUUCUGCAUUUUAGAACAAAGCUGAGUGGGCCCAAAUACUAAAACGGAAAAAAGGUCAAUUUAAUCCAUCGACCUAGUGAGCAAAUUAAACGGCAAAACCAUGCCACCGCCAACACAAAGAGGAGAAAGAAGUGACAGGAUUCAUUUAUGGAAGUGUCACUGCAUAUCAGGAUUGUUUUGGGUAAACUAGUCUUCUAUCACCCGACAGUUCAUAUGGAGAUUUUGAUGUUUGUCUCUCAAGAGACAAAGACAAAACAUAGAAAAAUAGGAAAAGCACAGGCUUGAUGGUAGAGAGACAUGAAUUUCAAGGUGGUAGACACUUGCUAUGUGUCUGUGUAAGCUUUUACAGGCAGGUUCCUAUGGGUGUAUAUGGGAGUUAGAACAGGUUGUCUUUCAUUUUAUAUUUUGUUUCAUAUAAGGAUCUCCGGAGAAAAGCACAAGAACCUAUCCCAAGUCAUUGAUGUGCACUUGUGCAUGACCUAGGGUUAAAGUAUGGUUAUUAUACCUUUGUUAAUGCUAAGUUCUCUGCCCAGAGAUGGUCCUGCCCACUGUUUUUAAAGAGGCAUAAUCUUAAACUGGGCAUGCUCAGAAAUGUUCCCACUUUUAUUGGUCAUAAUGAACCUUUUCCAUAUGAAUGAAAAGGAGUUACCUCUUUGAAGACCCCCUGUGCCCCUCCUCUCUUGUACACCACCUUUCCUUUCCCUUUCAUCUUUGUUUUCCCUUUCAUGAUAGUCUCACUUUCUAGCCCAGGCUAGCUCAGAGUCUACUAGUGUUGAUGCAAAAACGCAGGCCUUGUAUCUCAAACAGAAUGAGAGUUAGUUUGUUCUAGUGCUAAAUAUGAGUGAUCACAGCCAUGGAGCACACAUUCGGGUAUCUAAAAUACCAUUUUCCAGAAUGGUAGUAGUUUCAUGAAAUUUCUAUAGUUAUAAAAGAAAAGAAACUCGUAACUUAACACAGUUUUCAAAAACAUUGUUAUAAACAUUAGGCCUGUAGCAAAGUAGAAAAGGUUUCAAAUGCCAUUGACAAGAAUCUUAGCUUUGGGAUUGGUGGACACUAGGGGUCUAUUAAUACAAAAAAGGUUCCAUACAAUUGCCACAUUGAUGUCAAGUCAGACACAACGAUAGGCAAUGAAUGCUCCCCAUUAAGGGACUAAAGGCAACAUAAUUUGGUUAUAAAUCAGUACCAUUCCAACUCACCAUAACCACAGAACUUAUAAUUAGUAAGUUAGCCUUACAGAAACUUCAAAAUAGAUAUCCCUCACCCCACCCCGAGAACUUCAGUUCAUACCAUGGAAACAUGGGUAACUCUCCUGUCUCUCAGCCUCUCCAGGACUGGGUUUGCAGGCACACGCCAUGACUUGAGCCCUUUGCUUUCUGUUUGUUUGUUUGUUGUUCAGUUGAGAAGAACUUCUUUAGAAGUUAUUCCUUAUCAGCAUUUCUUGUAAAGUGUCUCAUUACUCUUCAUUUCGAGUUUUUGCUUACUGAGUUUGCACUAACCGAAGACAGAAUCCACUGUGUUUAGAUGCAGUUGUGGGCAGAUUACUUUGAUUUAUGUAAUCUGUUUUCUCAUUCAGAAACAGGACCAGAGGUACCAACCUUAACUAUGAAGAUAUUUACCCAACACAAUGAACCCCACACAAUGGGUGGUACUUCGUUAGCUUUAAGAAGCGCUGGGUUUCCUCUUUCCUUGUCUGUGCCACAGAAGAGCUGAGAUUCAAAGCCAUGACUCUCAAGUCCACAUCUUUUGGACAACUGUAAUAAGAUCUUGUCAGAGAAGUUCCCCCAUCACUGGAGCUCCCAGUCAGACUCCAACAUGACCAAUUCUUUUGUGUUGGUAGACAAUUCCCCAUUAUUUUAUGUUCCUAUCCACAGAGGUAAAUCUCUUAGGGGUUAAAAUAGAGACACAUAAACUAGGCAUGUCCCAGUGAAUUUUAUUAUGUGACUCUUCAACAAAGCUCCAUUAUAAAAACACCUCUUCUGUAAGCAAGCUUCUAGAGGAAGGCAGCAACUGACAUUUAGCUAGCUUCACGGCACUUCCCUAUUAUUGAGCUGGUCUUAACUCUAACCAGAGAACAGUGGGUUACUGCCGAAGUAUAGUUACCACUUUAUUAAAGAGCGUAUCCUAUUCUCUUUUCUUUCCCAUCUUCAUACUCUUGGUGUAGUUUAGUUCAUCAACUAAUGAUGCCUGUGGAGCACAAUAGCUACCAGCACAGCACGAUGACUCUAAGGGUAGAGUUGUGGUGCUCAUACCUUGGAGAUAACCAACAGCUCUCUAAUUGUUCUUAAGACCUACUCAGUAAGUGGGACAUCACACCCAGUACUAGAAAUCUUGCUAAGUACCCAGUGCAGGGAAGCCAUGGGUUUUGGAGAAGAAUGGGCAAUUACCACUCGACUAAACCAGCAUAAUUCCCAACUAUUUCUAAAUAUGUGUCCAUAUACCCACGAAUAAAUGGAAUCCUCACUCCUCAUCAAAGAAACUUCCCUUUGCCACAGAGACUAGUUCAGAAAACCACAACCAAUCAAAAUCCAGAGCUGUAGUGCCCAAUCCCAAGGGAUAUGUCUAUAUUGCAGUUCCUUUACCUAGGGCUCAGGGAUCAUUACAAAAGAAAGAUGGUUAGAGCAAAAGGAUUGGAGAGUUUGCUGCGAGACUGUCUCCUACUAAUAUCAGAAGCUACACUGGUAAAGUCUCACCAGCAUGACUGUCUAAACAUGAGCUCAACAAGGACAAUAACAAAAGAUACUAUAAAGUGCAUGGGGGAAAGACUGUAAGUCCUUAACCAUAAACAAAGAGCUACAGACAACUAAGGAAUAAUGAGAGCAGAAGAGACAUUUUCCCCAAGGAAGAGCACACCGACUGGUUAUCCAACACAACAGAAGUAAAAGCAUACAUACAAGUGACAUUAUAUAGACUGAGAAGGUUACAUUAGGGAAUAUUUAUGUAUAUAUAAAAAUCAUGUAACAAAGAUUAAUGUAAAAGGGAGAUGAAUUUAAAAUAUGGGGUGGUUUGGGCUACAAGAAAGGAAAGGGGUAAAGAAUGUAAUUAUGUAACAAUUUCAAAAUAUAAAUCUCAAAAUCUCAAAAAUGAAAUGAUUUUGAAAAAGCAAUUAAAUACCACAUUAUGCACACAUUUCAACAUGUCAUAAGGAAACCAAUUGUUAUGGAUAAUUAAUAUUUGUUAAUAAAACCAUGUGUCAACUGAAUAUAAAAACAAAAUUAAAUAAGUGAACAGAUAAACCAUUAAAAAAAAAAUCUCACCAGGAAUGGUGUCAUACACCUUUAGUCCCAGCACCCAGGAGGCAGAGGCAGGCAGAUCAUGGAUUACUGUGAAUUAGAGGCCGCCUGGUCUAUAUAGAGAACUCUGGAGCAGCCAGGACUACAUAGAGAGACCCUGUCUCAAAAACCAAAACCAAAACCAAAACAAAAAACUAGUGAAUUAAAAAAAAUAUGUUCCAUUUACUUAAUGUCAAAAUCCCAUCUAAGAAAAAGGUUUAAUAAUAAUAUAAUUACUCUGCUCCAGUUACUGUGGGAUUUUGCAAAGAGUCAAGGAGGGCAUGGGGAUACUGUUUUGCUGUCUUUUUUUUUUUUUAGGUUGAGUUUGCUUCUGGAAGGAAAAGAAAUGCAAACGCUCCAAACCAAAAAAAAAAAAAAAAAAAUGGAAGAAAGAAGAAAAAAAAAAAAACAACAA